UAACAAAAGACCAUACCAGAUUAGAUAAAAAUGGAAUGAUACUGCUCAAGUUUCUAAAAGACUUUUAGACCUUUCUAUGAUCAAGUAACAGGCUUAGAAAGCAACUACAUUACUUUAGGGUCUUGGAUUUCGAGAUUGAUUCCAUGAUCAUCCUGUGAGACUUCUGGGGGUCCUGAGAUGGCUGCUCUGGCCUCCUGGAUGAGUAAGACAUGGGACCAAGUCACUCUCAUGAUCUCAGCUGAUGAGUCAACGCCCAGAAGCAGAAGCAACUCAGAAGCAGAAAUAGCAGCUAAACACAGAAGCAUGAGCGAACC